UGGGGAAUAUUGGACAAUGGGCGAAAGCCUGAUCCAGCCAUGCCGCGUGUGUGAAGAAGGUCUUCGGAUUGUAAAGCACUUUAAGUUGGGAGGAAGGGCAGUUACUUAAUACGUAGGUGUUUUGACGUUACCGACAGAAUAAGCACCGGCUAACUCUGUGCCAGCAGCCGCGGUAAUACAGAGGGUGCAAGCGUUAAUCGGAAUUACUGGGCGUAAAGCGCGCGUAGGUGGUUUGUUAAGUUGAAUGUGAAAUCCCCGGGCUCAACCUGGGAACUGCAUCCAAAACUGGCAAGCUAGAGUAUGGUAGAGGGUGGUGGAAUUUCCUGUGUAGCGGUGAAAUGCGUAGAUAUAGGAAGGAACACCAGUGGCGAAGGCGACCACCUGGACUGAUACUGACACUGAGGUGCGAAAGCGUGGGGAGCAAACAGGAUUAGAUACCCCCGUAGUCC
rnacentral:rRNA from 1 species